rnacentral:rRNA from 1 species
UACGUAGGGUGCGAGCGUUGUCCGGAAUUAUUGGGCGUAAAGAGCUCGUAGGCGGUCUGUCGCGUCUGCUGAUGAAACCGUAGGCUUAACUCUGGGCGUGCAGUGGGUACGGGCAGGCUAGAGUGCGGUAGGGGAGACUGGAAUUCCUGGUGUAGCGGUGAAAUGCGCAGAUAUCAGGAGGAACACCGGUGGCGAAGGCGGUUCUCUGGGCCUGUACUGACGCUGAGGAGCGAAAGCGUGGGGAGCGAACAGG